rnacentral:rRNA from 1 species
AGUGAACGCUGGCGGUAGGCCUAACACAUGCAAGUCGAACGGCAGCACAGUAAGAGCUUGCUCUUACGGGUGGCGAGUGGCGGACGGGUGAGGAAUACAUCGGAAUCUGCUUUUUCGUGGGGGAUAACGUAGGGAAACUUACGCUAAUACAGCAUACGACCUACGGGUGAAAGCAGGGGAUCUUCGGACCUUGCGCGAUUGAAUGAGCCGAUGUCGGAUUAGCUAGUUGGCGGGGUAAAGGCCCACCAAGGCGACGAUCCGUAGCUGGUCUGAGAGGAUGAUCGGCCACACUGGAACUGAGACACGGUCCAGACUCCUACGGGAGGCAGCAGUGGGGAAUAGUGGACAAUGGGCGCAAGCCUGAUCCAGCCAUACCGCGUGGGUGAAGAAGGCCUUCGGGUUGUAAAGCCCUUUUGUUGGGAAAGAAAAGCAGCAGGUUAAUACCCCGCUGUUCUGACGGUACCCAAAGAAUAAGCACCGGCUAACUUCGUG